rnacentral:tmRNA from 1 species
GGGGGUGCACCGGUUUCGACAGGGGGUACUGAAAUUUAGUGGGCGUGUCCAGGUUGAUCACCACGGUCCUGGUAAAAAGGGGAUCAAAAAUUAAAUGCUGAAUCUAACGAUUACGGCUAUGCUCUAGCUGCUUAAUUAAUUUAAGCCUAGUCAUUGCGGAGGCCACCUCCAAUAAAAACAAGCGUGGCAACAAGUCUGUCUCGACUUAAAGGAGGCAAGCGAGUAGCCGGGAGUGACGCUUAAUAAUCACCGGGCUUGAAGGUUCACGAAUCUUAUAGUCUUCGCUUUGAGACGAGAAUUCAAAGCUACACACGUAGUCCGCUUUAUAGAUGGCCUUUUGGACGUGGGUUCGAUUCCCACCACCUCCACCA